AAAAAAACAUGUCUUUUUGAGAAUUAUCUAAAGUCUAGCCUGCUCCAUGAUUAUUUAAAUAGCUGCAGUAUCUUGACUGUACAAAGGUAGCAUAAUCAUUAGUUUUUUAAUUGAAAGCUGGAAUGAAUGGCUGAAUAAGGAAAUAAACUGUGCUGCUUUUUAAUUAAAUCGAAAUUUAUUGUUAAGUAAAAAAGCUUAAAUUUUUUAAAAAGACGAGAAGACCCUAUAGAGUUUAAUAAAUUUAUAAGUUAAAUUUUUGAGGGUUUUAUUUUAUUUAAUUUUUAGUUUAUUUUGUUGGGGUGACACUUGAAUUGAUUUAACUUCUAUUUUGAAAAUCAUUGAUUUAUGAAUAAAUGAUCCUAAUUUAUGGAUUAUAAGAAUAAAUUACCUUAGGGAUAACAGCGUAAUUUUCUUGGAGAGUUCUAAUCGAUAAGAGAGAUUGGGACCUCGAUGUUGGAUUAAAGUUAAAAAUUGGGGUAGAAGCUAAUAAUUUGAGUCUGUUCGACGUUAAGAACUGUACAUGAUCUGAGUUCACCCGGAAAGAGAAUAAAAGGGGAAAAU
rnacentral:rRNA from 1 species